AAGUCGUAACAAGGUUUCCGUAGGUGAACCUGCGGAAGGAUCAUUACUGAGAUGGGGUCCUUCGGGGCCCGACCUCCAACCCAAUGUCUACCGUCCUUGUUGCUUCGGCGGCGCCGCUCUCGGUAUGAUCCAGAGAUGGGACAUUUCGAGACCGUCGGCUCCUUUUAUCGGGGGCUUCGAUGCCCGCCGGGGAUUAAACGACAAACUCUUUACGACCGAUUCUAAUAUUUGAGUUUAAUAACUUCAAA
rnacentral:misc_RNA from 1 species